rnacentral:rRNA from 1 species
GACAGAGGUGCCAAGCGUUAGGCGGAAUCACUGGGCUUAAAGCGUGUGUAGGCGGAUUUUUAAGUACCUUGUGAAAUCCCACAGCUCAACUGUGGAACUGCUCGGUAUACUGGAAAUCUUGAGCCACUUAGGGGCUGUCGGAACAAGCGGUGGAGCGGUGAAAUGCGUAGAUAUCAGGAGGAACACCGGUGGCGAAGGCGGGUCUCUGGGCCGUAACUGACGCUGAGGAGCGAAAGCAUGGGGAGCGAACAGG